UCUUGGGUUGGGUUGGAGUCUCCAUUUUGGGGUUUUGGGUUGGGUUGGGGGUCUUCACUUGGGGUCAUGGAGUUGGGGUCCCCAUUUUGGGGUCUUGGGUUGGAUUGGGCAUCUCUAUUUGGGGUGAUGGAGUUGGGGUCUCCAUUUGGGGUCUUGGGUUGGGUC
rnacentral:lncRNA from 1 species